rnacentral:rRNA from 1 species
AUGCACGCUGGCGGCGUGCCUAAUACCUGCAAGUCGAGCGAACGGACGAGAAGCUUGCUUCUCUGAUGUUAGCGGCGGACGGGUGAGUAACACGUGGAUAACCUACCUAUAAGACUGGGAUAACUUCGGGAAACCGGAGCUAAUACCGGAUAAUAUUUUGAACCGCAUGGUUCAAAAGUGAAAGACGGUCUUGCUGUCACUUAUAGAUGGAUCCGCGCUGCAUUAGCUAGUUGGUAAGGUAACGGCUUACCAAGGCAACGAUGCAUAGCCGACCUGAGAGGGUGAUCGGCCACACUGGAACUGAGACACGGUCCAGACUCCUACGGGAGGCAGCAGUAGGGAAUCUUCCGCAAUGGGCGAAAGCCUGACGGAGCAACGCCGCGUGAGUGAUGAAGGUCUUCGGAUCGUAAAACUCUGUUAUUAGGGAAGAACAUAUGUGUAAGUAACUGUGCUCAUCUUGACGGUACCUAAUCAGAAAGCCACGGCUAACUACGUG